UAAGCGGAGGAAAAGAAACUAACAAGGAUUCCCUUAGUAACGGCGAGUGAAGUGGGAAAAAGCUCAAAUUUUAAAUCACCCGGGUUCCCUUGGUGAAUUGUAAUUUGAAGAAAGUGUUUUGACGUUCGGGUUCGAUUUAAAUCCUUUGGGAUAAGGUAUCAUAGAGGGUUAGAAUCCCGUUUAUGAUUGAUCCUUUGAAUGUCUAUAAUUCACUUUCCAAGAGUCGAGUUGUUUGGGAUUGCAGCUCAAAAUGGGUGGUAAAUUCCAUCUAAGGCUAAAUAUUGGCGAGAGACCGAUAGCGAACAAGUACCGUGAGGGAAAGAUGAAAAGAACUUUGAAAAGAGAGUCAAAAUAGUACGUGAAAUUGUUGAAAGGGAAACGAUUGAAGUCAGUCAUGCCAGUGAGAAAUCAGCUUACAGGCUACUGUGAGUGCACUUUUUCGCAAAGGCAGGUUAACAUCGGUUUUUGUUGCGUCAUAAUGAUUGUAGAAAGGUGACUCCUUCGGGAGUGUUAUAGCCUACUUUAGAUGGCGCGACGAGGACUGAGGAAUUGCAGCGAAUGCCUUGGCUACGGAUCUUUUCUCUGUUGAUCUUCAGUCGGUUGUCAGCUUGCUGACGAUCGGCUGAUAGGUUUGCAAUAGGAUGGAAUUCGAUAAAUUCGCUAAGGAUGUUGACGUAAUGGCUUUAAACGAACCCGUCUUGAAACACGGACCAAGGAGUCUAACAUAUGUGCGAGUGUUUA
rnacentral:rRNA from 1 species